UAAUCCUGUUUUCUCUUCAGCCCCUCCCCUCAGAUGUCUCUGGGUCUCCCAGCACCAUCAUGAGAACCUCCAGUCUCUAUAAAAGUCGCCGUUUCUGCCAGAAACCCGUCAGCCGCUGAAGCCUGCAGAUGUGGUAGCGGCAGGUUUUCAGCCGACAGGAAGUCACAGAGGUUUUGGCUCUUACUGUGCAAAUGAUUUCUACUUUGGGCUUCCUGUGAACUGUACCGCAACUUCCUGCCCCCCAUCAGCGAAGUGCUGUUUGCUCUGAGGUUACAGAGUCUGAACCGACCAGAGGUGCUAGACCACGACUGGGACUGCCGGGACGACAACAGUCAGACAGAGGAGAAAACACAAGAAUCUGAUGCUGGCUCAGAUUACCCAUCAGCCUCUUGCUCAGGAAUGUCUGCUGGUCGUCUCUGAGGAGGAACAAACAGCCGCAUCAAAACCUCUGAAACUCAGACAGGAAGCACAAAGCGGGCAGGACUGCAGACGGAGCGGCUCUUCAGUCAUCUGACGGUCUGAGGGAGGAAACUGCUGGUCCUGACGUCCUGACGCCUCCUGCAGGAGCACAAGCAGAUGCUGAGAUGGUGGAGAGGAGUCUGUUUUCUGCUGAAGGCUUCCCUGAAGCAUCUCCACCAAAACGCCUCUGAUUCGGUCACAAAGCUCAGACUGCGAUGGAUCUGCAGAUCUCUGACUGCAUGAAGCCCAGAGGCUCUGAGGAGGAGGAGAAGAUGAAGCUCCUGAGGGGUUUCAGCAGUCCAGGUCAGAAAGUCUCCAGACUCCUGAACCUUUGAUUCCAGUCUCACGUGUUUAAGUGAAAACCCCAAAAUACUAGAAAGCAGAACUUCCUGAUCCACUCAGUGGAUCCCAGAGGUCGGUUUCUAUUUCAGCUUGUUCUGCAGAUUUCUGAUCAAAACAAAGAAAAUGAAAAUGUUUUUCUGCUUUUUGUCUCACUGUGGAUGAAGAUGGACGUUUAUAACUGAAGGUCCAGCUGUCAGUACCUUCACACAUUGCAGGACAUUCCUGUUGAUUCGUCUGCAGGAUAAGAACUACAGCUGGACAACAGCGCCACUCUGGGGAAUAUUUGUGUAACUGCAGCAGCAAACAGAAGAACAUAAAACGAUCCAACAGUUUAUGUAAAUAUAUGUGUGUUCUGUAUUAUGUUUAUAUGUGAGCAUGGCUAGACCUACUUAAUUACAUUAAUUUGAAUGGAAGUAAAAUAACUAUGUCUGAUAACUACGUGUUAUUUUAAAGUUGAUUAAACUCAAAAAGAUGAUUUAUCUUCACCAAAUAUUUUAGUUAGAUCAGAUUAAAAAAGUUUAUCUUUACAACUGCAGCCUAAAACUCUUUUUAGAGUGUAGAUCUUAUAACAAAAAUAUCAGAUUCUGCAUUUUUUGUUAAUUUUUCCGUGUAAAUUGUCCAAAUAAAAGUAAGAACACAGAAAAAUGAGGUCACCAAGGUGAAAACCGGUUUAGUCUACUCCUUUGGUGGGGAAGUUUAUUGUCAAGCACCAAAACGCCAGAGAGAUGGAGGAAAAAGGUCAAAGCCAUCUGAAGAAGAGGAGAAGUGAGAUGAAGAAAAGGGUUUGUCCUCGUAGGGAUGAAGGUUUUCUGCUACCUGAAACAACGACGUCAACAAUUCUUUUGUGACUAAAACUUGGGUAGGCCUAAAUGUCUGAUAUCAAUGUUUAUUUGUUACCAUUUCAUUUUCUUCUGAACCUUUGGCUCUACCUUUACGUGUAACAUUAGUGGUAACCUUUAGACGUCAUGACUGAUGUGUCUGCUGUAAAAUUUAUAGGAUGGAAAACAGCAACUAUGAGCUGAGUUUUCAUCUAUAAAGUAGAGAUCCGUAUAUUAUACAAUACUUAGUGUUAGACAUCUUUUGUAUCGGGUUGACAUGGAUGAAAAAAAGGGGGGGGAGUCUGGGAAGGAGUUUAGUGUAGAACCACCACUGGUUGAGCCUCAGAUCCAGGAACAACAGUAGAACAGUAGACCAGG
ensembl:lncRNA